rnacentral:pre_miRNA from 1 species
GUGGGGAGGCCAGAUCCUGGGCUGUGUACUGGCGCCCAGGGCUCCCGGGCCUGCGCUGUUAGAUUUGCGCUCCCGGACGCGCAGCCCCCU